GCGUCUGUAUGGGCGGGCAGUGGGCACACGCGUGGGUGGGUGUGUGUGUCUGUGUUUGUAUUUGUGUGUCUGUGUUGGAAUGUGUGUGUGUGUGUGUGUGUGUUGGAAUGUGUGUGGUUGUGUUUGUGUCGGAAUGUGUUUGUGUGUGUGUGUGUCGGAAUGUCUGCGCGCGUGUGUAUCGGCGUUGGUGUCUGCGCGUGUGUGUCUCGGCGUGCGUGUGCGUGCGUGUGCGUGUGCUUGUGCGUGUGUGUGUGUGUGUGUACCAGUUCCUGGGUCGAUGGCUGUUUGUUUCUCCGGUUCUUCGAUGCGUCUCCUCCGUUUAAAGUCUCAUAGAAGGUAAAUCAGGGAAGGAGGGGCGCCUGCCACUGGCUCUGCCUGAGUGACUGAUCCGGGCGCGUCACUCACACGGCCCAGCUGGGCUCAACAUCUGGCAGCACGACCGAGCAGAUGGUUCAUUACCCAGCGCUCCUCCUCGGCGCUUCAGCUCCUCCUCGUAGCUCCUGGAGUCUGGUGCUCCAGAGGCUCCCCUGGAGGAGGUGUCCAGAGGCUCUCCUGGAGUCUGGUGCUCCAGAGGCUCUCCUGGAGGAGGUGUUCAGAGGGCCUAGAGGAGGUGUCCAGAGGCUCUCCUGGAGGAUGUGUUCAGAGGGCCUAGAGGAGGUGUCCAGAGGGUCUAGAGGAGUUGUUCAGAGCGUCUUUUGGGGGGUUCUGGGGCGUUUGCUGCCUGCUGAACCCCGGCUGACUUCAGCGUCUGUACUUAAUGUACUGGGUUAAGGGGUACAUCUUGCUCAGGAGUGCCUACUAUAUCUGUGCACUGGGGAUCAAACCCAGAACCUUCCCACUGGGAAUCCGACCCCUAACCACUACACUGCGGCCACUGAGUACAAAAAACCAACAUCGUAGUGUUCAUCCCUGAAACGUGGCUCCGAAACGUGUUGACUCAUUUUCCCUCAAUCAUUUAUGCAAAUAAUUGCCGACCAUUUUGAAACGCAUGGAGAAUGUGUAAGUGGGCCUGAAGCAAACAGAGAGCGAGUGUUUGCACGCGUCCGUCAGUACAUCAGGACGGUGGACUGUGGGGACGCGGGUAAACACCGCCGUCUGACGGGACCGGGAGGGGUUCUCUCGCUCGCCGUUGACGGCUCGCCACUCGGGGCUAAUUGGACGAGCGUGUUGUUCCCCGACCCCGACCGCCGCCUGUUGCCAGGCCGACGGGACGGCAGGACAGCGGGAGGCUUAAUUGAAAGGCUCGCGGCGGGUUUUUUCCGAGACGCGGGAGGCACGCGGGAACGCCGUCAUUCCGGAGAUUGCCCGGAGAACUUCCCCGAUAACAAUCACUUCUGUCAUCUUCUACUGGUGGAAGCCCUUCUGAUCUCGUCUCCUCCUCGCUGGUUGCCAUGGCAGCAGAUUGGGUUUAAAAGCGUUUUCCGAGGCUCUG
ensembl:lncRNA